UACGAAGGGAGCUAGCGUUGUUCGGAAUCACUGGGCGUAAAGCGCACGUAGGCGGAUGUGUCAGUCAGGGGUGAAAUCCCGGAGCUCAACUUCGGAACUGCCCUUGAUACAGCACGUCUUGAGUCCGGAAGAGGUGGGUGGAAUUCCUAGUGUAGAGGUGAAAUUCGUAGAUAUUCGGAGGAACACCAGAAGCGAAGGCGGCCAACUGGCCCGAUACUGACGCUGAGGCGCGAAAGCGUGGGGAGCAAACAGG
rnacentral:rRNA from 1 species